rnacentral:rRNA from 1 species
UGGGGAAUCUUCCGCAAUGGACGAAAGUCUGACGGAGCAACGCCGCGUGUAUGAUGAAGGUCUUCGGAUUGUAAAGUACUGUCAUUGGGGAAGAACGGUUUUCUUGAGAAGAUUGAGAAGACAUGACGGUACCCAAGGAGGAAGCCCCGGCUAACUACGUGCCAGCAGCCGCGGUAAUACGUAGGGGGCAAGCGUUGUCCGGAAUUAUUGGGCGUAAAGGGCGCGUAGGCGGGCCUUUAAGUUCGGUGUGAAAGAUCAGGGCUCAACCCUGAGAGUGCAUCGGAAACUGGAGGCCUUGAGGACAGGAGAGGAAAGUGGAAUUCCACGUGUAGCGGUGAAAUGCGUAGAUAUGUGGAGGAACACCGGUGGCGAAGGCGACUUUCUGGACUGUAACUGACGCUGAGGCGCGAAAGCGUGGGGAGCAAACAGGAUUAGAUACCCUGGUAGUCCACGCCGUAAACGAUGAGUGCUAGGUGUAGAGGGUAUCGACCCCUUCUGUGCCGCAGUUAACACAAUAAGUACUCCGCCUGGGAAGUACGAUCGCAAGAUUAAAACUUAAAUGAAUUGACGGGGUCAUAGCUGUUUUCC